AGAGUUUGAUCCUGGCUCAGAAUCAACGCUGGCGGCGUGCCUAACACAUGCAAGUCGCACGAUAAAGGGUAGCAAUACCUGAGUAAAGUGGCGCACGGGUGAGUAACACGUGACUAAUCUACCCUCGAGUGGGGAAUAACUGAGAGAAAUCUUAGCUAAUACCGCAUAACACUUACGAGUCAAAGCAGCAAUGCGCUUGGGGAGGAGGUCGCGGCCGAUUAGCUAGUUGGCGGGGUAAUGGCCCACCAAGGCGAUGAUCGGUAUCCGGCCUGAGAGGGCGCACGGACACACUGGAACUGAAACACGGUCCAGACUCCUACGGGAGGCAGCAGUGGGGAAUUUUGCGCAAUGGGGGAAACCCUGACGCAGCAACGCCGCGUGGAGGAUGAAAUAUCUUGGUAUGUAAACUCCUUUCGAUGGGGAAGAUAAUGACGGUACCCAUAGAAGAAGCCCCGGCUAACUUUCGUGCCAGCAGCCGCGGUAAUACGAGGGGGGCAAGCGUUGUUCGGAUUUAUUGGGCGUAAAGGGUGCGUAGGCGGUUUGGCAAGUCUUAUGUGAAAUCUAUGGGCUCAACCCAUAGUCUGCAUAAGAAACUGCCGGGCUUGAGUAUGGGAGAGGUGAGUGGAAUUUCCGGUGUAGCGGUGAAAUGCGUAGAUAUCGGAAGGAACACCUGUGGCGAAAGCGGCUCACUGGACCAUAACUGACGCUGAGGCACGAAAGCUAGGGGAGCAAACAGGAUUAGAUACCCCUGGUAGUCCUAGCCCUAAACGAUGA
rnacentral:rRNA from 1 species